rnacentral:rRNA from 1 species
UUAAGCGACUAAGCGUACACGGUGGAUGCCCUGGCAGUCAGAGGCGAUGAAGGACGUGCUAAUCUGCGAAAAGCGUCGGUAAGGUGAUAUGAACCGUUAUAACCGGCGAUGUCCGAAUGGGGAAACCCAGUGCAAUUCGUUGCACUAUCGUUAACUGAAUACAUAGGUUAACGAGGCGAACCGGGGGAACUGAAACAUCUAAGUACCCCGAGGAAAAGAAAUCAACCGAGAUUCCCCCAGUAGCGGCGAGCGAACGGGGAGCAGCCCAGAGUCUGAAUCAGCUUGUGUGUUAGUGGAACGGUCUGGAAAGUCCGACGGUACAGGGUGAUAGUCCCGUACACCAAAAUGCACAGGCUGUGAACUCGAAGAGUAGGGCGGGACACGUGGUAUCCUGUCUGAAUAUGGGGGGACCAUCCUCCAAGGCUAAAUACUCCUGACUGACCGAUAGUGAACCAGUACCGUGAGGGAAAGGCGAAAAGAACCCCGGCGAGGGGAGUGAAAAAGAACCUGAAACCGUGUACGUACAAGCAGUGGGAGCACCUUCGGGUGUGACUGCGUACCUUUUGUAUAAUGGGUCAGCGACUUAUAUUCUGUAGCAAGGUUAACCGUAUAGGGGAGCCGCAGGGAAACCGAGUCUUAACUGGGCGUUAAGUUGCAGGGUAUAGACCCGAAACCCGGUGAUCUAGCCAUGGGCAGGUUGAAGGUUGGGUAACACUAACUGGAGGACCGAACCGACUAAUGUUGAAAAAUUAGCGGAUGACUUGUGGCUGGGGGUGAAAGGCCAAUCAAACCGGGAGAUAGCUGGUUCUCCCCGAAAGCUAUUUAGGUAGCGCCUCGUGAACUCAUCUUCGGGGGUAGAGCACUGUUUCGGCUAGGGGGUCAUCCCGACUUACCAACCCGAUGCAAACUACGAAUACCGAAGAAUGUUAUCACGGGAGACACACGGCGGGUGCUAACGUCCGUCGUGAAGAGGGAAACAACCCAGACCGCCAGCUAAGGUCCCAAAGUCAUGGUUAAGUGGGAAACGAUGUGGGAAGGCACAGACAGCCAGGAUGUUGGCUUAGAAGCAGCCAUCAUUUAAAGAAAGCGUAAUAGCUCACUGGUCGAGUCGGCCUGCGCGGAAGAUGUAACGGGGCUAAACCAUGCACCGAAGCUGCGGCAGCGACACUAUGUGUUGUUGGGUAGGGGAGCGUUCUGUAAGCCUGCGAAGGUGUGCUGUGAGGCAUGCUGGAGGUAUCAGAAGUGCGAAUGCUGACAUAAGUAACGAUAAAGCGGGUGAAAAGCCCGCUCGCCGGAAGACCAAGGGUUCCUGUCCAACGUUAAUCGGGGCAGGGUGAGUCGACCCCUAAGGCGAGGCCGAAAGGCGUAGUCGAUGGGAAACAGGUUAAUAUUCCUGUACUUGGUGUUACUGCGAAGGGGGGACGGAGAAGGCUAUGUUAGCCGGGCGACGGUUGUCCCGGUUUAAGCAUGUAGGCUGGUUAUCCAGGCAAAUCCGGAUAAUCAAGGCUGAGGUGUGAUGACGAGGCACUACGGUGCUGAAGUAACAAAUGCCCUGCUUCCAGGAAAAGCCUCUAAGCAUCAGGUAACAUUAAAUCGUACCCCAAACCGACACAGGUGGUCAGGUAGAGAAUACCAAGGCGCUUGAGAGAACUCGGGUGAAGGAACUAGGCAAAAUGGUGCCGUAACUUCGGGAGAAGGCACGCUGGUGUGUAGGUGAAGCCCCUGCGGGUGGAGCUGAGACCAGUCGAAGAUACCAGCUGGCUGCAACUGUUUAUUAAAAACACAGCACUGUGCAAACACGAAAGUGGACGUAUACGGUGUGACGCCUGCCCGGUGCCGGAAGGUUAAUUGAUGGGGUUAUCCGUAAGGAGAAGCUCUUGAUCGAAGCCCCGGUAAACGGCGGCCGUAACUAUAACGGUCCUAAGGUAGCGAAAUUCCUUGUCGGGUAAGUUCCGACCUGCACGAAUGGCGUAAUGAUGGCCAGGCUGUCUCCACCCGAGACUCAGUGAAAUUGAACUCGCUGUGAAGAUGCAGUGUACCCGCGGCAAGACGGAAAGACCCCGUGAACCUUUACUAUAGCUUGACACUGAACAUUGAGCCUUGAUGUGUAGGAUAGGUGGGAGGCUUUGAAGCGUGGACGCCAGUCUGCGUGGAGCCAACCUUGAAAUACCACCCUUUAAUGUUUGAUGUUCUAACGUUGGCCCCUGACCGGGGUUGCGGACAGUGUCUGGUGGGUAGUUUGACUGGGGCGGUCUCCUCCCAAAGCGUAACGGAGGAGCACGAAGGUUAGCUAAUCCUGGUC